GCCUUUGUGGCGUAAUGGCUAACGCGUCUGACUGUUCGUAUAACCCGUCCAUCAUGAGUGAAUCCCUAUACUAACAAAAAAAAUAGUCUAUCUAGAAGAUGAUCAGAAGAUUCCCGGUUCGAGCCCGGGCUAAGGCU